AACGAACGCUGGCGGCAUGCCUAACACAUGCAAGUCGAACGAGACCUUCGGGUCUAGUGGCGCACGGGUGCGUAACGCGUGGGAACCUGCCCUUAGGGUCGGAAUAACUCCCCGAAAGGGGUGCUAAUACCGGAUAAUGUCUUCGGACCAAAGAUUUAUCGCCCUUGGAUGGGCCCGCGUUGGAUUAGCUAGUUGUUAGGGUAAAAGCCUACCAAGGCGACGAUCCAUAGCUGGUAUGAGAGGCAGAUCAGCGACACUGGGACUGAGACACGGCCCAGACUCCUACGGGAGGCAGCAGUGGGGAAUAGUGGACCAUGGGCGAAAGCCUGAUCCAGCUAUGCUGCGUGAGUGAUGAAGGCCUUAGGGUUGUAAAGCUCUUUUACCCGGGAUGAUAAUGACAGUACCGGGAGAAUAAGCUCCGGCUAACUCCGUG
rnacentral:rRNA from 1 species